rnacentral:rRNA from 1 species
UAAAGCUGACCUCUGCUUGCACGUUAGCGCUUGGAGAUGGGCUUGCGGCCCAUUAGCUUGUUGGUGGGGUAAUGGCCUACCAAGGCGACGAUGGGUAGCCGACCUGAGAGGGUGAUCGGCCACAUUGGGACUGAGAUACGGCCCAGACUCCUACGGGAGGCAGCAGUAGGGAAUUUUGCGCAAUGGACGAAAGUCUGACGCAGCGACGCCGCGUGAGCGAUGAAGGUCUUCGGAUUGUAAAGCUCUGUUGAGUGGGAAGAAAACCUUCGGGGACAAUACCCUCGGAGCUUGACGGUACCACUCGAGGAAGCCCCGGCUAACUACGUGCCAGCAGCCUGCGGUAAUACCGUAUGGGGGGCUAAGCGUUUGUUCUGGAAUCACUGUGGCGUAAAGCGGAGUGUACGGCGGGAAGGUAAGGUUAAGGAGUUAAAUUCACAGGCUUAACCUGUGGCCUGCUCUUAAUACUGCCUUUCUUGAGUAUGGGAGAGGGUGAUGGAAUUUCCAGGUGUAGCCGGUGGAAUGCGUAGAUAUCUGGAAGAACACCAGUUGCGAAGGCGGUCACCUGGCCCAAUACUGACGCUGAGGCUCGAAAGCUAGGGGAGCGAACAGGAUUAGAUACCCUGGUAGUCCUAGCCGUAAACGAUGGAUACUAGUUGCUGGAGGAGUCAAUCCUUUCAGUGACGAAGUUAACGCAUUAAGUAUCCCGCCUGGGGAGUACGCUCGCAAGGGUGAAACUCAAAGGAAUUGACGGGGGCCCGCACAAGCGGUGGAGCAUGUGCUUUAAUUCGAUGCAACGCGAAGAACCUUACCUGGGUUUGACAUGGGAGUGAAAGGAUCCAGAGAUGGACCCCUUCCGCAAGGAACACUUCACACAGGUGCUGCAUGGUUGUCGCCAGCUCGUGUCGUGAGAUGUUGGGUUAAGUCCCGCAACGAGCGCAACCCCUGCCCUUAGUUGCCAUCAGGUAAGGCUGGGACUCUAAGGGGACCGCCUGUCGUAAACAGGAGGAAGGUGGGGAUGACGUCAAAUCAUCAUGGCCCUUACGCCCAGGGCUAGACACGUGCUACAAUGGUCGGUACAAUGGGAUGCGAACCUGCGAGGGCAAGCUAAUCCCAGAAAACCGGCCUCAGUCCGGAUUGGAGUCUGCAACUCGACUCCAUGAAGUUGGAAUCGCUAGUAAUCGCGGAUCAGCAUGCCGCGGUGAAUACGUUCCCGGG